GGGUACGGCCGCACUCGGUUGAGUACGUUCGAUCUCGGAAGUCUAGCAACUGCAGGCUUGGUCAGUACUUUGAUGGGUGGCCGCCUGGGAAUCCCCUGUGCCAUAUUCU
rnacentral:rRNA from 1 species